rnacentral:rRNA from 1 species
UACGGAGGGUGCAAGCGUUGUCCGGAUUUACUGGGCGUAAAGGGCGUGUAGGCGGGACUGUAAGUCGUUGGUGAAAUGUGCGGGCUCAACCCGCACACUGCCUUCGAUACUGCGGUUCUUGAGUGCAGGAGAGGAUAGUGGAAUUCUCGGUGUAGCGGUGGAAUGCGCAGAUAUCGAGAGGAACACCCGUGGCGAAAGCGGCUAUCUGGCCUGACACUGACGCUAAGGCGCGAAAGCAUGGGGAGCAAACAGG